GCACAAAUUGCGGCAACUCAUGGCGCAAUCGUCAAUUAUGGGCCGACAAGAAGUAAUGGCGAAAAAAAAGAAACAUACAAAUAAAAAAAAAACAGAGGAAGCGACGAAAGCGGAAAAAAUAUUGUGUUCGAUAAUCAAACCGAAAAUGUGCACAGCUUGAGCCAAAAUAAGGCAACAAUGUGAAUGGGAAAAAAAGGGGCAGAAAACCGAGGAAAACAACCGAGUGUGUGUGUGUGUGGUGGACAGGACUUUUAAACAGCAGGAUAUGCGUACAAUUUUUGGCAAUUUGCCACCCGCCGCCGCACGCGUCUCGACUGCUUCUCGUUUCAAAUAUUAAAAGCGUCUCACAAAAGGUAUCGCAAGAAGAAGAGAGCAAAAAAAUAUAUGUAUGGAAAUAGUAUCGCAUGGAAUGCUUGGCAAACAAAGACUUAUAUCAAUGAAAUAUCGCCUCUCGUUUGGAAUAUGCACAAAAAUAUCGCAUGCGAUAUCGCAAAAGACUCCGCUGUGUGCUUACACACACACACUAAUGCACGCUCAGGCCGAGCCCAUAAUUAAAUUACACACAGCACACACACACACACACACACACAAACAAACAAACAUCCAUUUCGGCUGGCACGUGUGUGUGCGCGAGCGAGAGAGCGAGAGAGAAGGAGUAACUGGAUUUCAAGGUCUGCCUGCCUGCCUGCAUGUACUGUGUGUAUGUAUGUUUGUCCCCCUUCCACCCAUUUAAAGGCGGACCCCUUGCCGUCACGCUUCUCCAACGCAUCCGGCAGCGAAUUGACGAAAACUUGGAAAAAUAAAUUCAUACGCCUUUGCAGCCUUGGCGCCGCUUGUAACUGUAAAAUGUCAAAUGUGUGAAUGUGUGUGUGUGUGAGAAAUUCACCCAAAAUGUGAUGGAAUUACAAUUACAAACAAAAAAAAAUGCAAUAGCUCAAAUCAAGUAGUUUUCUUCUAGAUGAUACCUGAAGAAAAGGCUGCGUGACUAAUCUCUUUUCUUUUAUAUUAA